UACGUAGGGGGCAAGCGUUGUCCGGAUUCAUUGGGCGUAAAGAGCUCGUAGGCGGUUUCGUAAGUCGGGUGUGAAAACUCUAGGCUCAACCUAGAGACGCCACCCGAUACUGCGAUGACUAGAGUCCGGUAGGGGAGUGUGGAAUUCCUGGUGUAGCGGUGAAAUGCGCAGAUAUCAGGAGGAACACCAACGGCGAAGGCAGCACUCUGGGCCGGAACUGACGCUGAGGAGCGAAAGCGUGGGUAGCGAACAGG
rnacentral:rRNA from 1 species